rnacentral:rRNA from 1 species
AUUGAACGCUGGCGGCAGGCCUAACACAUGCAAGUCGAACGAGUGGCGGACGGGUGAGUAAUGUCUGGGAAACUGCCCGAUGGAGGGGGAUAACUACUGGAAACGGUAGCUAAUACCGCAUACCAUCGGAUGUGCCCAGAUGGGAUUAGCUAGUAGGUGGGGUAAAGGCUCACCUAGGCGACGAUCCCUAGCUGGUCUGAGAGGAUGACCAGCCACACUGGAACUGAGACACGGCCCAGACUCCUACGGGAGGCAGCAGUGGGGAAUAUUGCACAAUGGGCGCAAGCCUGAUGCAGCCAUGCCGCGUGUAUGAAGAAGGCCUUAGGGUUGUAAAGUACUUUCAGCGGGGAGGCGUUACUCGCAGAAGAAGCACCGGCUAACUCCGUGCCAGCAGCCGCGGUAAUAC